AUCUACAAAAGUGUAUUUGGUAAAUUUAGACAUACGAUUUGAUGAUUGCAGCAUGAUGAAGAUGCUAAACAUACAUAAUAUUUUGUUCCAUCAAGUCUGGAAUCUUAUUUAGCAUAGUAUAAGUGCCAACCCGUAUAUAUGAAACAAUGGGGACAUAUGAGUACACAUUCUUCAAGCUUGAAUGAUCAUAUUGUGAAGCCUCAAAUCUUACAAAAAGCUCUACUGUAGCUAUCAAAUUCGCAUGUGUUAUCAUAGCAAUUCAGAUAAAGGCAAACCAGCAUGGGUAAAUCAUUCAAAGCAUAAUCAAGAACCCAAAAUCAGAAUACUAGCAUAAUCAAGAACCCAAAAUCAAAUAGAGAAGGAAUAGAAAUACAGAGGAGGAGGAGUCGUCUCACCUCUGAUGCAGUCCGUUUGGUUUGGCGGGUGUUUCUCGUCUCCUUUCGCGGGUUUUAUUCAUAGCGAAGUUGAAAGGUUUGAGUUGUUGUAGUCUUGGAGACAGUGAAGGCAUGCGAAAUAUUUAUGGCUUUGUCUAUCCGCAAACAAUUUGGAGAAUCUGUAAAUUUAGGGAACGGAUCGUUCUCUCUCGUCUCUAUCCCUAUUUUAGAGAAAGGGAUAGGGAAACUGUUGGACACAAAAACACCCUAAUAUUCUCUAAAAUAGGGAAAAACAAAGGUUUUACAGAACCUGUUGGACUUGCUCUAACAACUUGUGUUUUGGAACACGAAAACACCUGGAACACCCAAAACACCAACGUAUAUAGGGAGGAGUGUGGGGACUUGUUGUCCAACACCGAGAUCUCCCAUGGUUGUAAUGGUUUGAUUUUUUUUUUUUGUAAUGGUUGAUUAUUAUUAUUAUAUAAAGUGUUAUUUUUCUCAAAAAAAAAAAAAAACCAUCACCUUAACAUAGUAAAAGUCAUCACCUUAACACAUUGGAAAAGUGGCCCGGUACUAUUUAGUUUACCGACAUGGUCUCCUCUUAGUCAGUGAGAGAUUGUGAGUUUGACUUACGAAGUUGUAAUAUUAAAAUUGUUUACCUGAUAAAAAAAAACACGUUGGAACAGUGCUUGAGGAAUCCCUCGGUAAAAUUAGUCUGGAAUGGUAAAAAGAAAAUGACAAGAAGGCAUCUGUGAUUUGCUAGAUUAGAUGGAUGGAGAGCGAAGGGAACUUCUCUAGAACCAUAUAUCAAUAAACUCAGAAUCCGUAUCAGAGCCCAUGGCCACGAUCAGUGACCUUGUGGCUUCUGAGAUUACGCUUUAGCUUCCGCGAUUUCAAUUUCGUUUGUUUCAUUCGAUUUUGCCCCAAUUUUCUGAAGGAGAUGGUAUCGUAUUUUCAGGGCUUAGUGUUUACUGAGUCCUACUUUUACUUGGUCUUUAGUCAAUAAUCGCUAGACUUUAGGAGUCUGUUAGUAGGGUUGAUUCAUUCAAGUUGGUUAGUUGUGCUGCUAUUCAAGCAGAUAAGUAGGAGUUCAGUUUCAGUUGUAAGGCUAUUUAAAGCCAAGUUUGUUGAAUAAGAUAAUUAAGUCAUUCAGCCAUAUUGUUCUUGUGCUCUGUUUGUUAUUCUACACUCAAUCAGGGUUCUAACAAUUUGGUAUCAGAACCCCCACUGGGGCCUGAGAUAAAAGAGAGCUGCAGUCUUUCGAGUGACUCACAAAGAAGAGAGAAAGAUGAGUGAAGAGAAGGGUCUUACCAAACUGCCACACUUCGACGGUCAUUAUGACCACUGGAGUGAACUAAUGGAGAAUUUGCUGAGAGCCAAAGG
rnacentral:lncRNA from 1 species